GAGAUGUUAGUAAACCAAUUACAUAGCAUUGUCAGCGCUAAAUCACAGGUGAAACCCCCGUACAUCUCA
rnacentral:tRNA from 1 species